UAGCCGUAAACGAUACUCGCUAGGUGUCGGCCACGGUGCGACCGUUGUCGGUGCCGUAGGGAAGCCGUGAAGCGAGCCACCUGGGAAGUACGGCCGCAAGGCUGAAACUUAAAGGAAUUGGCGGGGGAGCACCACAACGGGUGGAGCUUGCGGUUUAAUUGGAUUCAACGCCGGAAAUCUUACCGGGACCGACAGCAAUAUGAAGGCCAGGCUGAAGACUUUGCCGGAUUAGCUGAGAGGAGGUGCAUGGCGUAGACGUGU
rnacentral:rRNA from 1 species